AUCGCUUCUCGGCCUUUUGGCUAAGAUCAAGUGUAGUAUAAAUGAUAAGGGUCCACUUUAAGAGGAUUCCACUGUUCAGACUUACUACAGUAUAAUCAGGGUUACUGAUAAACAUUUAGAAUGGUUACAGAUUUUUGCUAUCACAAAAAUUGUUGCACUGUUUAUAACUGGCUUUUUCUCUUU